rnacentral:rRNA from 1 species
UGAGGAAUAUUGCACAAUGGGCGAAAGCCUGAUGCAGCGACGCCGCGUGGGUGAAGAAGGUUUUCGGAUCGUAAAACCCUUUUCUGUGUGACGAGAACGGACGGUAGCACAGGAAUAAGUCUCGGCUAACUACGUGCCAGCAGCCGCGGUAAAACGUAGGAGACAAACGUUAUCCGGAGUUACUGGGCGUAAAGGGCGUGCAGGCGGCAGUCUAAGUCUGGCGUGAAAUAUCCCGGCUCAACCGGGGAAGGUCGUCGGAUACUGGGCAGCUAGAGGACGGUAGAGGCGUGUGGAAUUCCGGGUGUAGUGGUGAAAUGCGUAGAGAUCCGGAGGAACACCAGUGGCGAAGGCGACACGCUGGGCCGUACCUGACGCUAAGACGCGACAGCAUGGGGAGCAAACAGGAUUAGAUACCCGUGUAGUCCCUGAGCGGGCUGGCAAGGCGCAU